AGAGUUUGAUCAUGACUCAGGAUGAACGCUAGCUACAGGCUUAACACAUGCAAGUCGAGGGGAAACGACAUCGAAAGCUUGCUUUUGAUGGGCGUCGACCGGCGCACGGGUGAGUAACGCGUAUCCAACCUGCCCACCACUUGGGGAUAACCUUGCGAAAGUAAGACUAAUACCCAAUGACGUCUCUAGAAGACAUCUGAAAGAGAUUAAAGAUUUAUCGGUGAUGGAUGGGGAUGCGUCUGAUUAGCUUGUUGGCGGGUAACGGCCACCAAGGCUACGAUCAGUAGGGGUUCUGAGAGGAAGGUCCCCCANAUUGGAACUGAGACACGGUCCAAACUCCUACGGGAGGCA
rnacentral:rRNA from 1 species